rnacentral:rRNA from 1 species
GAUGAACGCUGGCGGCGUGCCUAAUACAUGCAAGUCGAGCGAACGGACGAGAAGCUUGCUUUUCUGAUGUUAGCGGCGGACGGGUGAGUAACACGUGGAUAACCUACCUAUAAGACUGGGAUAACUUCGGGAAACCGGAGCUAAUACCGGAUAAUAUUUUGAACCGCAUGGUUCAAAAGUGAAAGACGGUCUUGCUGUCACUUAUAGAUGGAUCCGCGCUGCAUUAGCUAGUUGGUAAGGUAACGGCUUACCAAGGCAACGAUGCAUAGCCGACCUGAGAGGGUGAUCGGCCACACUGGAACUGAGACACGGUCCAGACUCUUACGGGAGGCAGCAGUAGGGAAUCUUCCGCAAUGGGCGAAAGUCUGACGGAGCAACGCCGCGUGAGUGAUGAAGGUCUUCGGAUCGUAAAACUCUGUUAUUAGGGAAGAACAUAUGUGUAAGUAACUGUGCACAUCUUGACGGUACCUAAUCAGAAAGCCACGGCUAACUACGUG